rnacentral:rRNA from 1 species
UACGUAGGGGGCUAGCGUUAUCCGGAAUUACUGGGCGUAAAGGGUGCGUAGGUGGUUUCUUAAGUCAGAGGUGAAAGGCUACGGCUCAACCGUAGUAAGCCUUUGAAACUGGGGAACUUGAGUGCAGGAGAGGAGAGUGGAAUUCCUAGUGUAGCGGUGAAAUGCGUAGAUAUUAGGAGGAACACCAGUUGCGAAGGCGGCUCUCUGGACUGUAACUGACGCUGAGGCACGAAAGCGUGGGGAGCAAACAGG